AGUGCUUGGUAAAUCUCUAGCCCGCCCCCUUUUCAAAGCAACCCUCUGGAACCAGUGUCGUUCACCAUUCUCGAACGCUUGCGUAAUGGUCUCUGUUCCCAUUGGAGACCCUCACCCUUAACCAGGUUGAGUGAAACACGAUCGUUGGACAGGUGGUUGCGAAGGGGUGGAGCUUACAAACAACCCUCAUGGUUUGCCUUGUUUCGCAGGGAUUGAGAGUUGAACAGUAUCGGAAUUAUCGACCGUUAAAGAUGGACCAACUAUUUAUGCAAAAGGUUCGUUUGUAUUUGACACCCUGCAAAUAUAAUGAAACGAAUAUGUAAGAAUUGAUUAUCAUUCGAAUGUUCUUGAAUUGAAAAUCAGUCAUCUGCUGGAUGAAUGGAUUAUUUUUACAAUGAACUUUUUAUCUAUAUUACAAUGAACUCAUCGGCCACGUUCUGUUGUAGAGUCACACUAUGGCACGUGUGCUAAAUGAAGUGCAAUCACCUGGCAAAAUUCUAUUAUCAACGUAUUAAAUGUAGCCAAUGAACAGUAUAAAAAUACUUCACUUCUCAUCAGAUAUUUGUAUCCAUUAACCGUGUCGGUGGAUCUUUAAUUCGAGUCUGGUAAUAUGCACUAUAUCCAUAACUGCAAGCUGACGCUUUGGAUCGAUGCUCUGAGCGUCGGCGCUGAAAUGCUUCAUGGCUAAAUUUCGAAGCUUUUCUAGAAUGAAGGAUAUUCGAUAUAAUGCCAAAUCGACGAGCAAUUCUUCUCACCGUUGAACCAACGCCGAGAUAAAAUCAGUUAGAAACAAUUUAAGUAUUAUCGAUUUAAACAAGAAUGCAUUCUUCCUGGUCACAUGGAGUUUCGAAAAUUCACGGUUCUGUCUUAACAUAGUACGGUAAGAAAACCCAUUAAAUUCUGAUAAAAGUUUGCUAGUGAAUUUACUACCAACUUGUAGGAAUUUAGUUUUUUAGCGUUUGCAUCGUGAAAUUUUCAAACGUGGAAUGAGACGAGUAAUCCCCUUCUAAUUCGAUGUAUACGAUGGAACAAUUUGUUAUUGCAACUGUAAGUAAUUAUAAAUAAUACGGUAUGGUGUCG